rnacentral:rRNA from 1 species
AACGAACGCUGGCGGCAGGCUUAACACAUGCAAGUUGAACGGGAAUAUUUUGUAGCUUGCUAUAAGAUAUGAGAGUGGCGCACGGGUGAGUAAUACAUAGGAACAUACCUACUAGUUCGGAACAACGCUUGGAAACGGGUGCUAAUACCGGAUACGGCCUGAGGGUGAAAGAUUUAUCGCUAGUAGAAUGGCCUGUGGCAGAUUAGGCAGUUGGUGGGGUAACGGCCUACCAAACCGACGAUCUGUAGCUGGUCUGAGAGGACGAUCAGCCACAGUGGGACUGAGACACGGCCCAGACUCCUACGGGAGGCAGCAGUGAGGAAUAUUGGGCAAUGGGGGGAACCCUGGACCCAGCCAUGCCGCGUGAGUGAAGAAGGUUUUCGGAUUGUAAAGCUCUUUCGGAUGUGACGAUGA